CCUACGGGAGGCAGCAGUGGGGAAUAUUGGACAAUGGGGGGAACCCUGAUCCAGCGACGCCGCGUGAGUGAAGAAGUAUUUCGGUAUGUAAAGCUCUAUCAGCAGGGAAGAAAGAAAUGACGGUACCUGACUAAGAAGCCCCGGCUAACUACGUGCCAGCAGCCGCGGUAAGACGUAGGGGGCAAGCGUUAUACGGAUUUACUGGGUGUAAAGGGAGCGUAGACGGCGAUGCAAGUCUGAAGUGAAAGGCCGGGGCCCAACCUCCGGACUGCUUUGGAAACUGUAGGGCUGGAGUGCAGGAGAGGUAAGUGGAAUUCCUAGUGUAGCGGUGAAAUGCGUAGAUAUUAGGAGGAACACCAGUGGCGAAGGCGGCUUACUGGACUGUAACUGACGUUGAGGCUCGAAAGCGUGGGGAGCAAACAGGAUUAGAUACCCGAGUAGUC
rnacentral:rRNA from 1 species